rnacentral:rRNA from 1 species
AUUGAACGCUGGCGGCAGGCCUAACACAUGCAAGUCGAGCGGAUGAAGAGAGCUUGCUCUCUGAUUCAGCGGCGGACGGGUGAGUAAUGCCUAGGAAUCUGCCUGGUAGUGGGGGACAACGUUUCGAAAGGAACGCUAAUACCGCAUACGUCCUACGGGAGAAAGCAGGGGACCUUCGGGCCUUGCGCUAUCAGAUGAGCCUAGGUCGGAUUAGCUAGUAGGUGGGGUAAGGCUCACCUAGGCGACGAUCUGUAACUGGUCUGAGAGGAUGAUCAGUCACACUGGAACUGAGACACGGUCCAGACUCCUACGGGAGGCAGCAGUGGGGAAUAUUGGACAAUGGGCGAAAGCCUGAUCCAGCCAUGCCGCGUGUGUGAAGAAGGUCUUCGGAUUGUAAAGCACUUUAAGUUGGGAGGAAGGGCAGUAAGCUAAUACCUUGCUGUUUUGACGUUACCAACAGAAUAAGCACCGGCUAACUUCGUGCCAGCCGCCGCCGGUAAGAC